UCUUUUCGUAUCUUUCACUACUUUUUGGCAUCGAGUAUUUCAAUUGUAAUGAAUUAUAAUUUUGUUUGCUGCACACUACUGAUACUAGCAAUGAGGUACGAGUGUGAUAAGCAACUUAACUAGUGUUACAAUUUGCAUCUAAAGAGCAUAAUUUUUACUCCACUAGGUGUUAAGGUGUUAGAUACCUGACCAAUAAUCCAAAAAAUAUCCAGAGCUGAGGGAACAUGUAAAGUCAAGCCUUUCAACCUAUUCCUGGCCGAAUCUGGUACCCCUGCACCAAAAUGGCCCCCACCAUGCACAUAACAUAAUGUCUCUUAAACAAAUUGAAUUGGUCCUAUGAAGAAGAAAUGCAAAGAAAGUGGUAUUUUUUUCUAUUCUUUUUUCAAUCUGGGUUCUGGAAAUAUACAUAUCCAUGGGCGAUAUAGUGAGGAGAUAUACCUUGAUAAUUAGAGAUUCUUUUUUCACCUUCCUGUUUUGACUGCAAAAGGAGAAUUUUGUUGUGUUACCUUGCGGAAGGUGGAGUUAAUAAUUCUACAACAGAUGUGAGUAGCUUGAUGUGGAGACUUAUAGAUACUUGGGCACCCUCUCCUUAAUGACAAGCUUUUGAGAAUGAGUUAUACCCUUGUCCCUAACAAGUGGUAUCAGAGCCAAGGUUGUGGCAAGGCUAAGAUUCUGGCAAAGCUAGGGCAUGAGAACCUAAUGUACCUUUGAGGAUGAAGUUUGAGAAGAUCUUGGAUUGCUUCCACAUGGAGGGGAGAUUCUUGCGGUUCCACACAGAAGGCCAAAUUAAUAAUUCCACAUUAGAUGUGAGUAGUCCGUGUUACGAAUUAACAAUGCAACAGAACAAUGAUUUGCAAAGAAAAACGAAAGAGAAUAUCACACACGCACACACACACACACACACACACACACACAAGACUCUUUGGCUGAAGACCAACACAAAGUUGAAGUUUUCUAUGGCAUUCCAUCCCCAAACUGACCAUAAGACGGAAGUUGUGAAUAGAAGCCUUGGAAAUUGUUUCAUUGCCUAGUUUGUGAUUAUGAGAAGAGUAGAUGAUGUGGCAUUCUAUUCUUGACAUAAUUGAAUCUGCAAACAACAGUUUCGUCAACCGCACCUCCGGUCUCACACUAUUUGAGAUUGUUCUUGAUCUUCAACCUCAACGACUGGUUGACAUGGUACCCUUGUCACUUCAUGCCCAUGUUAGUGUUGAAGUGGACGAGUUCCUUCAGCAUAUUAUAGAGCUAUGUGGAGUUUCAACUUGGUGAUAUGGUUAUGGUUCAAAUUCCACCUGAACGAUUUCCUCCAGGUACUGUGCACAAGCUCCACCCUCAGAAUAUGGGAACUUACAAGGUCUUGAAGCGUAUUGGUCCCAAUGCCUACAUAUUGGAGUUGCCUCCUACUAUAAAAAUCAUCAUUUUUUUCAACAUUGCAGAUGUUACACUCUAUAUGGGCCAUCAUUCCGAUGAUGGAGAUAUGGAGCAUACAUUGAGACUUCCCCAAUUUGUGACCCCUACGGACGAUGUUAUUGAAGACGUCAUUGACAACAAGUUUACUACUAUUUGUGAUGGGAAAGGCUAUUAUUUGCUCCUUGUUAAAUAAAAAGAGCGCCUUAUUAAAGAUAGCACUUGGAUCCAUGCCAAAGAUUUUCAGCGUCUUGAUACGGAUCUCUAUGAGUGCUUUAUCCAUUGAUCGGAGACAAAUGAUUUAAAGAGGGGGGAGUUGAUGUAGAUCCCCAUAAUGGGAUGCAGUAUUUCAGCAGUAUAAUGGGAUCUCUAUGUAGAUCCCCAGUUGGUUCCUUAUUUUUUGCCCCUCUGCUGGCCACAUCAAUAGCCCAUUGGCAUGCAUAGGAAACCCCGUUAUUACAGUAUAUUUGUUUCCAGAUUUGAGCUUCUAGAAGGCCCUCAAUUAGCCCCCUUGAUCCAGCCUUUACACCUGUCUGUAGCUAGCCAGAAGACUCUCCUUUGUGGCCUGCAAUUUCCUUUACAGUUGGAAUCUUGUGUUGCUUUGUUUGACUGGUCAGAGAUGUUUUACAAGAGAGGAGAUGCCUUUUAGAAA